rnacentral:lncRNA from 1 species
ACAGCGCCAUCAAGGUUCAAAUCCCAGCACUUGGCCAUGAAGCUCACUGGGUGAGCUUGGACACCAGACCUGCCCUCUACCUUGCAGGAUUGGUGCGGGGAUUAAACGAGGAUCAGGGAGAAUGAUGUUCAUCACCUUGAGCUCCUCAGAGAAAAAGGUGGGAUGGAAACGCAGCGAAUAAGUACAGUCAUACCUCAUGUAAUGUCUGCUUCAUGUUACGUUCCUUCAGGUUAUGUCCCGCGGCGACCCAGAAGUACCGGAAAGGGUUACUUCCGGGUUUCACUGCUUGCACAUGCCCAGACGCGCAAAAUGAUGUCACGCGCAUGUGCAGAAGUGGCAAAUUGCAACCCGUGCAUGCGCAGACGCGCUGCUGCGGGUUGCGCUCUUCUCAUGUUGCGAACGGGCCUACAGAAAGGAUCCUGUUCACAACCAGAGGUACCACUGUAAUAAAAUAAUCUGCGCCCCUGUCUUUUGGCCAAAACACAUGAGGUGGGGGUUAUUAUUGCUUAUCUGCCAGGCACUGAAAAACAUUUCUACGGCUUGAAACUCUUUGACAUCAAACUGUCGUUUUAAACUCUGCUUGCUGCAUUUAUUGUGAAUGUCAUUUUCUUUUCUUCUGGAAAAACACAUUGAAGUCAUUCCUUUUUAAAAAAAUAAAAAUAAAAGGGGCCUGUCUAUCUAGAAAGGCUUUUAACACACCCGGGGUCCAAGCUGGCCGCGAGCCAGAAUCCUGGCGACGUUUCUGCUGGACCAGAAUCAAACCUGGAGAGCCAUACGGACAGAUGCGUACAAACACACACACACCCAAAUCCAGGGUUUUUUUGCAGUGUGAAAUUUCUAACUCCCGAAGCUUGCUGCUCCCAUCCUGUAUCAACAGGGCAGAUCCUGUUGUUGUUCUUGUUUAGUCGUGUCCGCCUCUUCGUGCCCCGCUGGACCAGAGCAUGCCAGGCACUUCUGUCUUCCACUGCCUUCCACAGUUUGGUCAAACUCAUGUUUGUAGCUUCUCCUUGUGCACUCCAUCUUUCCCAACAUCAGGGUCUUUUCCAGGGAGUCUUCUCUUCUCAUGAGGUGGCCAAAGUCUUGGAGCCUCAGCUUCAGGAUCUGUUCUUCCAGGGAGCACUCAGGGCUGAUUUCCUUCAGAAUGGAGAGGUUUGAUCUUCUUGCAGUCCGUGGGACUCUCAAGGGUCUCCUCCAGCACCAGAAUUCAAAAGCAUCCAUUCUUCAGUGAUCAGCCUUCUUUAUGGUCCAGCUCUCACUUCAUAGAAUCAUAGAAUCAUAGAAUCAUAGAGUUGGAAGAGACCACAAGGGCCAUCGAGUCCAAACCCCUGCCAAGCAGGAAACACCAUCAGAGCACUCCUGACAUAUGGUUGUCAAGCCUCUGCUUAAAGACCUCCAAAGAAGGAGACUCCACCACACUCCUUGGCAGCAAAUUCCACUGUCAAACAGCUCUUACUGUCAGGAAGUUCUUCCUAAUGUUUAGGUGGAAUGAACUUCCAUACAUCACUACUGGGAAAACCAUAGCUUGAACUAUAUGGACCUUUGUCGGCAAGGUGAUGUCUCUGCUUUUUAAGAUGCUGUCUAGAUUUGUCAUUGCUUUUCUCCCAAGAAGCAGGCGUCUUUUAAUUUUGUGGCUGCUGUCUCCACCUGCAGUGAUCAUGGAGCCCAAGAAAGUCAAAUCUCUCACUGCCUCCAUUUCUUCCCCUUCUAUUUGCCAGGAGGUGAUGGGACCAGUGGCCAGGAUCUUUGUUUUUUUGAUGUUGAGCUUCAGACCAUAUUUUGCGCUCUCCUCUUUCGCCCUCAUUAAAAGGUUCUUUAAUUCCUCCUCACUUUCUGCCAUCCUGUAGGGCUUAGUUGUGAUUCCUGAGUUGCAGGAGCGGGUUGGAAUUGAUGACCCUCGGGUGCCCCUUUUAACUCUUCAGUUCUGUGAUUUCAUGAUCCCACAGAGUGUGAUUGGGGGUGGGCGUCUUCCCGCACCCCAAAGUGGCACCCACUUCUAUUGUUUUUUUCUCUCUCUCUCUCUUUCUCCCUCCCACGUCCCAACCUACAUUCCCCGGCAGAUAUUUUUAAGGGGAGAAAAAGAAGACGCCAUUGUCUAUUAAGAGAGAGGUAUUUGUGCUCAAACAAUAAUUGCUCCCUUGUUAUCUCUCUAAUUGCAGGCUGUCGGCCUGAGCUGGGCACAAAGCAUCUUCCUCGGGGGCAUCAUCCUGCAACGUGCCUCCAAGGAGCCCAUACACACUCCCCCGGGACGGAUCCAGUGAUGGCAUGUGCUGGAAGCGUCUGGGGGCAAGGGGGGUGAAAAUGAUCUGCCCCAGAAUUGAUUGUGUUAUUAUGAGGAUUGUAAGGUCUAAGAUAUAAAAUAAAGGUUCAUAAAUGUA